GUUUGAGCUUGAGGUGCCUAGCGGAGUUGCUGGGGGUUGUUGAGUCCACGCGGGAGUCCAUGGUAUGGUUGAGGUCACCGCCUAUAAUCUUGGGCUUGUUGGGCUGGUCGGUAAUUUGGUGAGGACUCUGUGUAGAAAGUUGCGCUGUUGGUCAUUCGGGCUGUAUAGGCUUACUAGUAUAAAGGGGUUAUUGUUUAUGAUGCAGUGCAGAAUCACGUAUCUGCCUUGGCUGUCUUUUUUGAUGUGGAGUAUUUCCGCUGUCAGAGACUUGUGUAGUAGAAUGGAGACCCCUCUGGAUUUGGAUGUGUGUGUUGGGUGGAAUUGUGUGGGGUAUUCCUGGGUGCAAAUGUGGGUAUGCGGUUGGUGACGAAAUGCGUUUCUUGUAUACAGGCUAUGUCUGCUUUGGUGUGUUUCAGAUCAUCUAGCAGUAUACGUCUUUUGUGCGGCGUGUUAAGGCCUUUAGUAUUAUGUGAGUAGAUAAUCAUGUUUGGGACGUUGUGUUAAAAAAGUUUUUUUUUUUUUUUUU